UCUAAUAAUAACACGCAUACGUAUAUUAUUAUAGAGGCCAACGCGUCGACGGAUUUUGCCCGCUUUUAUGCCAUUAUAUUAUAUUUUUAUUUUUUUUUUUUGCUCUAAUAACGUCGAGUAAUACUCAACGCAGAUUUAAUCGAAGACCGUGCGUGUAUAAUACGCCAACCGGAGCUUAGUGAUAAUAUUAUGGUAUCGGCGUAAUGCAUCUGCAUAAUACGCGUACCUUUACGUUAUACUUUAUGUAAUUUUCCUUUUUUUUCCUAUUUAUCUCCAGUCGGACGGAACACGCGUUGGUGGCGGCGGCGGCGAUGCGCCAGCGCCGUUUAAUUAGACGGUCGACCUUCCACGGAAAUGGCGACGAUGUCAUUGUAUGAGUUCUGUCGUCGUUGUCGUAAUGACCCGACCGACCGAAGUCCAAUCGUCUCUGCUAUCGACCUAUAUAAUGACCUUAUGUGAAUAUGGACGUAUCCUGCUGAGGGGAGAUGAUCAAUGAGCUUAAACAUUGUUUUUCACCAACGUUAUUUCAUGGACGCAUUAAGGAUUUAUUGCGUUUUAUUAUUUUGUUAAAAUGUCAACUUUCCUUUUUUUCCUAGGUGAGUAUUAGCGCGCAAAGAAUACACGUAACUGUAAUGGAGUCAUCUGAUACCUAUACAAGGUGAAACGGCACCAAAGUCAUCGUUUCCGCUGUGUUAACAGGAAAACCGUAUAUCGAAACGCAUUUUCAAGGAAACCUCCGAUGGAUCUCGGAAAUGGCUUAUUGAUUCGUUACAGGUGCUUAAAAUUUACAGCAAAAAUCAAUGAGAGAUCGAGUAGGUAUCAAUAAAAAAUAUUUAUAUAAUAAACGAGGAGAGUCAUCAUUCAU